UACGUAGGGAGCAAGCGUUGUCCGGAUUCACUGGGUGUAAAGGGUGCGCAGGCGGAUUCGUAAGUCAGGGGUGAAAUCUCACAGCUUAACUGUGAAACUGCCCUUGAUACUGCAGAUCUUGAGUUCGGGAGAGGUUGAUGGAAUUCCAGGUGUAGCGGUGAAAUGCGUAGAUAUCUGGAAGAACACCAGUGGCGAAGGCGGUCAACUGGCCCGUAACUGACGCUCAGGCACGAAAGCGUGGGUAGCGAAC
rnacentral:rRNA from 1 species